CCUCUCUCUCUCUCUCUCUCUAUCCCCAGAUCAAAGGGUCGUUCUCUUGAUCAAAAGAACCCCUCCCCCUAAUAGAAAAAUGAUAGAAAGGUAACCCUAGAUUUCAAAAUGUCUCCAUCGAUGCAAAUUAUUAGCUUGGUUCCAUUUUUAAGAAAGUAGCAAUAUAAGAACUAGAGCAUUAUCAACUAUUUUGUGGUGGCUAGGGUUUUGAUUGGAAGCGAAAAGGGGACGGAGUUAAGGUAUGAUUUUCAUACCAGGAUGGGAAUGGUUCAGUGACCGAUGAAUUUUUAGGUUCUUCACGUCAGAAGACACCGCCCCGGAGGCGGCGGACCUUAUACUUUUAUGCUGACAGUCCGUCCCACAUGGAUAAAAGAGACGGCCGCCUCACUGCAUACCGGUUCAACUGUUCAGUUUAAACAGGUAAAAAGAAACGUU
rnacentral:misc_RNA from 1 species